UCCUAUCAAGAUUAACAAAACAUAAUCUAUAUGAAUCAAAGAAAAAAACUAGAAUUAAAAUGAAUUAAUUGAAGAUUAUGAGGGGAUUAAGCAAGAAUUAAGAAUCAUAAACAUAAAAAUUGGGCUAUGGGUAAGAUUCAAUUGGAAAGGGUGUGAAAUCAUGGCUCGAUUGGGACAUGAAGCUUGUGGACAAAAAAAGCCCAAAAUCUUCAGAAUAUCCAAUAACGGGUUUGAUGCUCAUGAGCUUCAGCCAGGAAUUCAAAAUCAGGUCACAUAACGCCCCGCAAACGCCUUCGACCCUAUUUCACCGUCGUCUUCCCUACACUACUCUCAAGACCGGACUUCAUGCGGGUUUAAUCAUAAUGAGCAAGAAAUGCUGAAGACAACAAUAAACUAUUCCUGUCCAAGUGAAAAAGAACUCACCGUCGGCACCGGAUUGGGUGGUAUAUGCGGGUGAUCGAGAGAUUCAACGAGCAAUUCACCUUCGCUUCUCCGAUGCGCUUCUGUUUGUGAUUGUAUUCGUUCUUCAAUGCCUCAUCGGAUUCAUCAUUUUUGUCGUGCGUUCAUAAUUGCUAUGCUCGUAUUAGGGUGAAGAUGAAGAGUGGAACAGUGAAUCCCAUGGUUGAACCGCGGUGACGAUAACUGAAGGGAGAUAUUG
rnacentral:lncRNA from 1 species